GGAUGCAACAAGUCUGCUUUGAGAUUGAGCGCUCUUUUCUGACUCACUGGAUGGUGGUGCAUGGCCAUUCUUAGUUGGUGGAGCGAUUUGUCUCCUUAUUUAUCGUAAUGAACAAAAUGCUAGCCUAUUUUAGAGAAACAAGCGGGGCCGCACGAAACUGAGCAAUGGCAGGUUUCUGACGCCCUUGGACGUCC
rnacentral:rRNA from 1 species